rnacentral:rRNA from 1 species
UACGUAGGGUGCGAGCGUUGUCCGGAAUUAUUGGGCGUAAAGAGCUUGUAGGUGGGUUGUUGCGUCUGCUGUGAAAAUCCGAGGCUCAACCUCGGACUUGCAGUGGGUACGGGCAGACUAGAGUGUGGUAGGGGAGACUGGAAUUCCUGGUGUAGCGGUGAAAUGCGCAGAUAUCAGGAGGAACACCGAUGGCGAAGGCAGGUCUCUGGGCCACUACUGACGCUGAGAAGCGAAAGCAUGGGGAGCGAACAGG